GAUGAACGCUGGCGGCGUGCCUAAUACAUGCAAGUCGAGCGAACAGAUGAGGAGCUUGCUCCUCUGACGUUAGCGGCGGACGGGUGAGUAACACGUGGAUAACCUACCUAUAAGACUGGGAUAACUUCGGGAAACCGGAGCUAAUACCGGAUAAUAUAUUGAACCGCAUGGUUCAAUAGUGAAAGACGGUUUUGCUGUCACUUAUAGAUGGAUCCGCGCCGCAUUAGCUAGUUGGUAAGGUAACGGCUUACCAAGGCAACGAUGCGUAGCCGACCUGAUAGGGUUAUCGGCCACACUGGAACUGAGACACGGUCCAGACUCCUACGGGAGGCAGCAGUAGGGAAUCUUCCGCAAUGGGCGAAAGCUUGACGGAGCAACGCCGCGUGAGUGAUGAAGGUCUUCGGAUCGUAAAACUCUGUUAUUAGGGAAGAACAAAUGUGUAAGUAACUAUGCACGUCUUGACGGUACCUAAUCAGAAAGCCACGGCUAACUACGUG
rnacentral:rRNA from 1 species